CACUGCUCCACGUGGACAUUGCUUUGAGAUCAAGAGUCACACACCGACUGCUGAUCUGAGAGCGACACAGGCCCACUGACAUUUGAGGCAAGGUGCUUUUUUAAAGGAACCAAAUACACUGAAGAACCCGUAAAAAUUUCACAAGACUGGCGUCAUAAUGACACAAAAGAAGAAAAACGAAAAAUUGAAAUCCAGAGUGGCAGGAGCAGCAACUUUAUAAUAAAUCUUUAAUCUGGAAUCACAUAAACAUUGGCUUCAAACAGAAUGAC